rnacentral:rRNA from 1 species
UACGAAGGUCCCGAGCGUUGUUCGGAAUCACUGGGCGUAAAGGGAGCGUAGGCGGCGUGGUAAGUCAGAUGUGAAAUCCCGGGGCUCAACCCCGGAACUGCAUCCGAUACUGCCGUGCUAGAGGAUUGGAGAGGUAGCUGGAAUUCUUGGUGUAGCAGUGAAAUGCGUGGAGAUCAAGAGGAACACUCGUGGCGAAAGCGAGCUACUGGACAAUAUCUGACGCUGAGGCUCGAAGGCCAGGGUAGCGAACAGG